GACGAACGCUGGCGGCGUGCUUAACACAUGCAAGUCGAACGAGGUCCACCGCGUAGCAAUACAAGGGAAGACCUAGUGGCGAACGGGUGCGUAACACGUGAGGAACUUGUCCCGGUCUCUGGGAUAACAGUUGGAAACGACUGCUAAUACCGGAUGACGUCGGAAUCUCGCAUGGGAUACUGACGAAAGGGUUACUGGAUCGGGAGAGCCUCGCGGCCUAUCAGCUUGUUGGUGAGGUAACGGCUCACCAAGGCAUCGACGGGUAGCUGGUCUGAGAGGAUGAUCAGCCACACUGGGACUGAGACACGGCCCAGACUCCUACGGGAGGCAGCAGUGGGAAUCUUGCGCAAUGGGCGAAAGCCUGACGCAGCAACGCCGCGUGCGGGAAGAA
rnacentral:rRNA from 1 species